GGACUACCGGGGUAUCUAAUCCUGUUUGCUCCCCUUGCUCUCGCGCCUCAGCGUCAGGUAUAAGUUAGAAAAUCGCUUUCGCCACCGGUGUUCUUCCACAUAUCUACGCAUUUCACCGCUACACGUGGAAUUCCAUUUUCUCCACCAAUCCUCGAGACAAGAAGUUUUAAGUGCAGCUCCGAAGUUGAGCUUCGGAAUUUCACACUUAACUUUCCUAUCCGCCUACGCGCCCUUUACGCCCAAUAAAUCCGAUUAAUGCUUGCACCCUCCGUAUUACCGCGGCUGCUGGCAC
rnacentral:rRNA from 1 species